AUUGAACGCUGGCGGCAUGCUUUACACAUGCAAGUCGAACGGUAACAGGGUGCUUGCACCGCUGACGAGUGGCGAACGGGUGAGUAAUGCGUCGGAACGUGCCGAGUAGUGGGGGAUAACGCAUCGAAAGGUGUGCUAAUACCGCAUACGUACUGAGGUAGAAAGUGGGGGACCUUCGGGCCUCACGCUAUUCGAGCGGCCGACGUCUGAUUAGCUAGUUGGUGAGGUAAAGGCUCACCAAGGCGACGAUCAGUAGCGGGUCUGAGAGGAUGAUCCGACACACUGGGACUGGGACACGGCCCAGACUCCUACGGGAGGCAGCAGUGGGGAAUGUUGGACAAUGGGCGCAAGCCUGAUCCAGCCAUGCCGCGUGUCUGAAGAAGGCCUUCGGGUUGUAAAGGACUUUUGUCCGGGAGCAAAUACCCAGUGCUAAUAACGCUGGGGGCUGAGAGUACCGGAAGAAUAAGCACCGGCUAACUACGUGCCAGCAGCCGCAGUAACAC
rnacentral:rRNA from 1 species